AACGAACGCUGGCGGCAUGCCUAACACAUGCAAGUCGAACGAGACCUUCGGGUCUAGUGGCGCACGGGUGCGUAACGCGUGGGAAUCUGCCCUUGGGUUCGGAAUAACAGUUAGAAAUGACUGCUAAUACCGGAUGAUGACUUCGGUCCAAAGAUUUAUCGCCCAAGGAUGAGCCCGCGUAGGAUUAGCUAGUUGGUAGGGUAAAGGCCUACCAAGGCGACGAUCCUUAGCAGGUCUGAGAGGAUGAUCAGCCACACUGGGGCUGAGACACGGCCCAGACUCCUACGGGAGGCAGCAGUGGGGAAUAUUGGACAAUGGGCGAAAGCCUGAUCCAGCAAUGCCGCGUGAGUGAUGAAGGCCCUAGGGUUGUAAAGCUCUUUUACCCGGGAUGAUAAUGACAGUACCGGGAGAAUAAGCCCCGGCUAACUCCGCGCCAGCCGCCGCCGUAACAC
rnacentral:rRNA from 1 species